GAUUAUGGCUCAGGACGAACGCUGGCGGCGUGCUUAACACAUGCAAGUUGAACGGGACGGAUAUUGAAGCGACUUUUCGGAGUGGUGGAUAUAUUGUUUAGUAGCGGACGGGUGAGUAAUGCAUGAGAACCUGCCCUUCAGAGGGGGGCAACAGUUGGAAACGGCUGCUAAUACCCCCAUAUGCCGAGAGGUGAAAGGAGCGAUCCGCUGAAGGAGAGGCUCAUGUCCUAUCAGCUAGUUGGUGAGGUAAGUGCUCACCAAGGCGAUGACGGGUAGCCGGCCUGAGAGGGCGACCGGCCACACUGGAACUGAGAUACGGUCCAGACUCCUACGGGAGGCAGCAGUGGGGAAUAUUGGGCAAUGGGCGGAAAGCCUGACCCAGCGACGCCGCGUGAGGGAAGAAGGCCUUUGGGUCGUAAACCUCUGUUGUAUGGGAAGAAGGAAGUGACGGUACCAUACGAGGAAGUCCCGGCUAACUACGUGCCAGCCGCAGC
rnacentral:rRNA from 1 species